UGAAGCUGGAAUCGCUAGUAAUCGCAAAUCAGAAUGUUGCGGUGAAUACGUUCCCGGGCCUUGUACACACCGCCCGUCACACCAUGGGAGUUGGAAGCACCCGAAGUCGAUGACCUAACCAAGAGGGAGGAGUCGCCGAAGGUGAAGCCAGUGACUGGGGUGAAGUCGUAACAAGGUAUC
rnacentral:rRNA from 1 species